rnacentral:rRNA from 1 species
GAUGAACGCUGGCGGCGUGCCUAAUACAUGCAAGUCGAGCGAACAGACGAGGAGCUUGUUCCUCUGACGUUAGCGGCGGACGGGUGAGUAACACGUGGAUAACCUACCUAUAAGACUGGGAUAACUUCGGGAAACCGGAGCUAAUACCGGAUAAUAUAUUGAACCGCAUGGUUCAAUAGUGAAAGACGGUUUUGCUGUCACUUAUAGAUGGAUCCGCGCCGCAUUAGCUAGUUGGUAAGGUAACGGCUUACCAAGGCAACGAUGCGUAGCCGACCUGAGAGGGUGAGCGGCCACACUGGAGCUGAGCCCCGGCCCAGCCACCUGGGGGAGGCAACAGUGGGGAUUCUUCGGCAAUGGGGGAAAGCUUGACGGAGCACCGCCGCGGGAGUGAAAAUGGUCUUCGGAUCGUAAAACUCUUUUAUUGGGGAAAAAAAAAUGUGUAAGUAAAUGUGCACGUCUUGACGGUACCUAAUAAAAAACCCACGCCUAACUACGUG